rnacentral:rRNA from 1 species
CCUACGGGCGGCAGCAGUGAGGAAUAUUGGUCAAUGGACGCAAGUCUGAACCAGCCAUGCCGCGUGCAGGAAGACGGCUCUAUGAGUUGUAAACUGCUUUUGUACGAGUGUAAACGCAGAUACGCGUACCUGUCUGAAAGUAUCGUACGCAUAAGGAUCGACUAACUCCGUGCCAGCAGCCGCGGUAAUACGGAGGAUUCAAGCGUUAUCCGGAUUUAUUGGGGUUAAAGGGCGCGUAGGCGGUCGGAUAAGUUAGAGGUGAAAACCCGAGGCUCAACUUCGGAAUUGCCUCUGAUACUGUUCGGCUUGAGAGUAGUUGCGGUAGGCGGAAUGUAUGGUGUAGCGGUGAAAUGCUUAGAGAUCAUACAGAACACCGAUUGCGAAGGCAGCUUACCAAGCUACUACUGACGUUGAGGCACGAAAGCGUGGGGAGCAAACAGGAUUAGAUACCCCUGUAGUC